GUGCUGGUGCCACUUCCGACUCCUCUUUAACUCCCGCCCCUUAGAAGCUGAGGGCCCGGAAGUACCCUCCCCGGAAGUGAAAUUGGAGGCGGAAACAGCCACGGAAAGCGGUGGUAGUAGCUUCUGACCUUUCUGAACCGUCUGGGACCCUUUGGUGGGGUGGUAGUUUUUGUAUUGGGAAGGAGCGUCGGCGUGUUUCUAACCUCCAGGAAUACCUCCUUCCUCUAUGCACUGCUCUGGGCUAAGCUGGAGGCUCUGAGGCCCAGGCCCUAGGAACUAGAACAUAUGCCCAUUGCUUGUAUUUUACAAUAUUAAUUUUGCAAAACUAGAACUAUAAGGCAAUGGUUGAGUCACAGUGCGGUAUCAUCCGUGCCUUUGUAGGGCGCUUCUCAUAAGCUGGAGGCUAUCUGCCUCUGUACUUCAAUAAAUCAAAGACCAACUAGUACCUAAAAACAUGGCAAAGAAUGUGGCAUACAUAAUGUGCAUUAGAAAUGCUUCUGCCAGCUGCAACGCGUAAUUACAAGGGGAGAAAGAGACACCAGAGCAUGAUGUCUCCCUCUAUACCAAAAAGGCCAUGUAAUGACACAGUGAGAAGGUGGCCAUCUACAAGCCUGGAAGAGAGGCCUCACAAGAAUCCAAAUCUCUCAACACCUUGAUUUUGGACCUCUAGACUCUGGAACUGUGAGAAAAUAAAUUUACGCUGUUUAAGCCA